CCCGCCUUGGCCACGCAGAGCUAUUUGGAGCCGAUCUAACGGAAGUGAGCGAUCCAGGGACUUGUAGGCUAUGUCUGUGUCUAGGGCUUUUCCCAGAAGCCGGGGAGAAGAGGGGUCAGAUCAGGUGUUCCAGAAGAAGAAAUACAAUAUCAGUGCUCAGUGAAAACACUCCUGAACCAUGGAAAUGGCGUGUAGUGCUGUUCACCCUUUCCUCAGAUGUCAAGAGUCUCUGGUGUUCAACUCACAACUUCCUCAAAUGCCAAGGCUGAGAGUCUGUCACAGAGGAGCAGGGCCAACCUGCAAAGAAGACUCAGACCACACAGCCGUCUAGAAGAAGCAGAAACCAGCUGAGCUAUCUGGAAGAGCUUUAGACCAACUGAGACACUGAGGAGGACACUCUCCAGCCUGUUGAGCUGCCUGCAGGCUGUGCAGUGUGCUACAAGUUCCCAGCGUUGUGAGCUGUCACCCAUGCUGGGGUGGGCCUCCGGGAUGCAGCUGUCUUUGAGUCAUUUCUGCUCCGAUAAGUAACCCCUCACCCAUAUUCUUCCAAGUAACCCCAAUAAAACUCAUGGC
rnacentral:lncRNA from 1 species